rnacentral:rRNA from 1 species
ACUCAAAGGAAUUGACGGGGGCUCACACAAGCGGUGGAGGAUGUGGUUUAAUUCGAAGCAACGCGCAGAACCUUACCAAGUCUUGACAUACCGGGAUAAGUCGAAUGAAAGUUUGAUCAUUUUCAGCAAUGAAGUAACCGGAACAGGUGCUGCAUGGCUGUCGUCAGCUCGUGCCGUGAGGUGUUAGGUUAAGUCCUUUAACGAGCGAAACCCCUACGUCCAGUUGCCAGCGGGUAAAGCCGGGGACUCUGGACGGACUGCCGCGCAAGCAGGAGGAAGGUGGGGACGACGUCAAGUCAUCAUGGCCUUUAUGACUUGGGCCACACACGUCCUACAAUGGGUUAUACAAAGGGAAGCCAAGCCGCGAGGUGGAGCCAAUCCCCGAAAGUAACCCUCAGUUCAGAUUGUGGGCUGCAAUUCGCCCACAUGAAGCUGGAAUCGCUAGUAAUCGCGGAUCAGCCACGCCGCGGUGAAUUUGUUCCUGAGCCUUGCACACACCGCCCGU